rnacentral:rRNA from 1 species
AAAUUGAAGAGUUUGAUCAUGGCUCAGAUUGAACGCUGGCGGCAGGCCUAACACAUGCAAGUCGAGCGGAAACGAGUUAUCAGAACCUUCGGGGGACGAUAACGGCGUCGAGCGGCGGACGGGUGAGUAAUGCCUAGGAAAUUGCCCUGAUGUGGGGGAUAACCAUUGGAAACGAUGGCUAAUACCGCAUGAUGCCUACGGGCCAAAGAGGGGGACCUUCGGGCCUCUCGCGUCAGGAUAUGCCUAGGUGGGAUUAGCUAGUUGGUGAGGUAAGGGCUCACCAAGGCGACGAUCCCUAGCUGGUCUGAGAGGAUGAUCAGCCACACUGGAACUGAGACACGGUCCAGACUCCUACGGGAGGCAGCAGUGGGGAAUAUUGCACAAUGGGCGCAAGCCUGAUGCAGCCAUGCCGCGUGUGUGAAGAAGGCCUUCGGGUUGUAAAGCACUUUCAGUCGUGAGGAAGGCGGUGUAGUUAAUAGCUGCAUCGUUUGACGUUAGCGACAGAAGAAGCACCGGCUAACUCCGUGCCAGCAGCCGCGGUAAUACGGAGGGUGCGAGCGUUAAUCGGAAUUACUGGGCGUAAAGCGCAUGCAGGUGG